UACGUAGGGGGCGAGCGUUGUCCGGAUUUAUUGGGCGUAAAGAGCUCGUAGGUGGCUGUCAAAGUCGGGUGUGAAAUCCCAAGGCUCAACCUUGGGUCUGCAUUCGAUACUGCCGUGCUUGAGGACUGGAGAGGAGACUGGAAUUUACGGUGUAGCGGUGAAAUGCGUAGAUAUCGUAAGGAAGACCAGUGGCGAAGGCGGGUCUCUGGACAGUUCCUGACGCUGAGGCACGAAGGCCGGGGAGCAAACGGG
rnacentral:rRNA from 1 species